rnacentral:rRNA from 1 species
UACGUAGGGUGCAAGCGUUAAUCGGAAUUACUGGGCGUAAAGCGUGCGCAGGCGGUUGUGCAAGACAGAUGUGAAAUCCCCGGGCUCAACCUGGGAACUGCAUUUGUGACUGCACGGCUAGAGUACGGUAGAGGGGGGAUGGAAUUCGCGUGUAGCAGUGAAAUGCGUAGAUAUGCGGAGAACACCGAUGCGAAGGCAAUCCCUGGACCUGUACUGACGCUCAUGCACGAAAGGACGUGGGGAGCAAACGAG